rnacentral:rRNA from 1 species
GACGGGGCCGCACAAGCGGCGAGCAUGCGGAUUAAUUCGAUGCAACGCGAAGAACCUUACCAAGGCUUGACAUACACCGGUAACGCCCAGAGAUCGGGUGCCCCUUUGUGGUCGGUGGACAGGUGGUGCAUGGUUGUCGUCAGCUCGUGUCGUGAGAUGUUGGGUUAAAGUCCCGCAACGAGCGCAACCCUCGUCCUAUGUUGCCAGCGGGUCAUGCCGGGGACUCAUGGGAGACUGCCGGGGUCAACUCGGAGGAAGUGGGGAUGACGUCAAAUCAUCAUGCCCCUUAUGUCUUGGGCUUCACGCAUGCUACAAUGGCCGGUACAAAGGGCUGCGAUACCGCGAGGUGGAGCGAAUCCCAGAAAGCCGGUCUCAGUUCGGAUUGGGGUCUGCAACUCGACCCCAUGAAGUCGGAGUCGCUAGUAAUCGCAGAUCAGCAACGCUGCGGUGAAUACGUUCCCGGGCCUU